rnacentral:rRNA from 1 species
AUUGAACGCUGGCGGCGUGCCUAACACAUGCAAGUCGAGCGGUAACAGGUGUAGCAAUACAUGCUGACGAGCGGCGAACGGGUGAGUAAUGCUUCGGAAUCUGCCCAAUGGUGGGGAAUAACCAGCCGCAAGGUUGGCUAAUACCGCAUACGUCCUAGGGGAGAAAGCAGGGGAUUGUAAGAACUUGCGCCGAUGGAUGAGCCGAAGCCGGAUUAGCUAGUUGGUAGGGUAACGGCCUACCAAGGCGACGAUCCGUUGCUGGUCUGAGAGGACGACCAGCCACACUGGGACUGAGACACGGCCCAGACUCCUACGGGAGGCAGCAGUGGGGAAUAUUGGGCAAUGGGGGAAACCCUGAUCCAGCGACGCCGCGUGUGUGAAGAAGGCCUGCGGGUUGUAAAGCACUUUUAGUGGGGAUGAAAAGCUCAGGGCUAAUACCUCUGGGUCUUGACCUAACCCACAGAAAAAGCACCGGCUAACUCUGUGCCAGCAGCCGCGGUAAAAC